rnacentral:rRNA from 1 species
AUUGAACGCUGGCGGCAUGCCUAACACAUGCAAGUCGAGCGAGCGGCGGACGGGUGAGUAAUGUCUGGGAAACUGCCUGAUGGAGGGGGAUAACUACUGGAAACGGUAUCUAAUACCGCAUACCAUCAGAUGUGCCCAGAUGGGAUUAGCUAGUAGGUGGGGUAAUGGCUCACCUAGGCGACGAUCCCUAGCUGGUCUGAGAGGAUGACCAGCCACACUGGAGCUGAGACACGGACCAGGCGCCUACGGGAGGCAGCAGUGGGGAAUAUUACACAAUGGGCGCAAGCCUGAUGCAGCGAUGCCGCGUGUAUGAAGAAGGCCUUCGGGUUGUAAAGUUCUUUCAGCGAGGAGGCGUUACUCGCAGAAGAAGCACCGGCUAACUCCGUGCCAGCAGCCGCGGUAAUUC